rfam:Dipodomys ordii contig_5442, whole genome shotgun sequence.
GGUGGCUCAGUGGCAGAGCUCUUGCCUUGCAUGCAUGAGGCCCUGGGUUCGAUUCCUCAGCACCA